GUUGGGGGAAGCUCGGGUUCAGGGGCUAUGGCCAGGGAGGAAGGACAAUCAGGAAAGUGGGGGUAGCGGAUUCUGGAAGCUAAAUAGUUUCAGGAAGGAGGAAUUGAUAGCCAAUGUUCAGAAGUACUGUGAGGCCAAGACUCCAGAGACAAUUGAGUUUGGCAUAUGCCAGUCAUUGGCAUCCUUGACAAAAGCAGUUUCAAAGGAGUGUGGGGAAGCUACAUCUCGUCAGAGUGGACUGUGAAAAGAAUAUUAAGUGAAGUGGAAAAAAGGCAUCCACAUUAAUCUGGAUAAAGGCUGCUUCUUCAGCCACAGCUAAGGUGCAUGUAAUAGGAAUGAGAGCCACCUGUGUUUCAGAAAGCGUCUGGGAUUUUAGAGCUGCUUGUAACUGCAGCCUAACACAGCCUCAGCCGACUGAUACAUCCAGUGUCGUCAAAACAGAGCAGUUAUCCUUCAUGAAUUCCACUGGGGAUUCUGCUAUACAGCUUCAUAAGAAACUCUGGGGGUAUCAUAUCUCAAACCAAGCUCCAUCUUCUUCCUCCAGUUUAAAAGACCAGCAUCUUCAUGGAGACAGUGACUGAAACCACAAAGGUGCUCUCCAUCACCAUCCCCAUUCUAUCAAGCAAGGAGGCCUGUGUAUGCUAACUUUGCAGAAUUUCUCCUAUCCAUGUUGUUUCUUCAUCCUUAUGUUAUUAUCCCUCCAAUCCAUUCUUCUAAAAUUAUAAGGGUGAUCGUUCUAAAACACAAAGCUGAUCAUAUUAUACCCUUGUCAAAAGUACCAUUGCCUCUUGGAUUAAAUUCAAAUUUCACAGCCUGCCAGGGACUUGAUUACCUGACUCCUGCCUACUUAAUUUCUUUAUUGCUGGUUAAAUCUCUUCUUAUCCAAAAUUUGUGCUUCAGCCAUGCCAAGCUUCUUGCAGUAGUCUUCACUCGCCAGGUUAAUGUAAGCCAUUAUACACGUGGUUCUCUUAUGUUACUUGCUUCCACCCUCCACCUACACAAUGUUCAAGACUGAACACAACUCGUGCUCUGACUGGCUUCAGCCACUCGUUUUUCACCACCCUGUGAACACCAACACUUGUGUUCCUAUGCUAUUCCCCAACUUGAAUGUCCCUAUCAAUUCUCUUCAUCUUUCCAGGCCUAUUUUAAAGACCGUGGAGAUUCCCAGGCUAUUUUAAUAGAUAGUGGAGAUAGUUUAGAUUCAGAUCUGUUCAGGGACUAUAGAAUUUGGAUCUCCCCUCUUGCCCAGGGCCUUCUUGACAAACUAGAAGAGCCUUUGUGUGGAUGAGCGGAAAAGCAGGAGCGAGACCUCUGGUCAUGUCUUGUCACGCCAUAGUUGUAUGGGAGGAAGCCACUAAAGCAAACAGGAAGCUGAGAAAUUGGCCAACUGGGGACAUUCUUGAUAACCACUCUGGAUAUUUCAGAGGAACGAAAGCCUUCAGAGCUGGGCUUGGAUGAAGGGAACUGGCCUGACAACUGUUGCUUUGCUGUGUAGAUACAGCUGGUGUUAGACAUUUGCAUUUGAUUAUAUUUUACUUGCUCUGAUGUCUAAAUCUAUUUUUUGACAGGAAUACCUAAAAGAACAAAAGUUCUGCAUAGAAGAUUCCUUGGGAAACACUCGGGGUUAUAGGCAACUUCUUUUUCCCUGUGAAUCAAAAUCUUGCCGUUAAAUUAAUGAAGAGUUCUCAGGGUGCAGGAGAGCCAAGUUUCUGUUGUGCUCCAUUACACAUUGGGAAAUGGGAAAGAGAAGAAAGAAAUGUGCUGGAACGUGGAGAGCCAGCCACUCUGCUGAGCCUCUUCCUGUGACCUAGUCACAGUCACUUUGUGAGGGUCAGUCAUCUAGUGGAUAAAAUCAAGAUAUUCCUAAAACUAAGACAUUCUGUGUAGAGAAAAAGCCCCUUAGCAAGCAGAACAAUAUCACCUAGGUAUUAAUUUCUUACCCGUUUGUGGUGUCUUAGAGGCCAAAUAAAUUCGUUAUAUAAAAUAUUAAGCUUCUCGUAAUAUUAUGACAAAUGGCCAUUAUAUUACACGUAUUUUAAAAAUUAUUUUUUUUCUUUUUACUCUCACAAUAAUUUGAAGUGAACCAAGCAGCCGGCUCAUUGUUUGAGAAACAGUUGUUUCAUGGGUGAAUUGACCUCAUCUUCGGCAGCCACCGGUUUGCUAAGCAUUUACUUUGAACAUUUCUAUG
rnacentral:lncRNA from 10 species